rnacentral:rRNA from 1 species
CAGUCGCCGCGGUAACACGAAGGGGGCUAGCGUUGCCCGGAAUGACUGGGCGUAAAGGGCGCGUAGGCGGAUGGCACAGUCAGAUGUGAAAUUCCCGGGCUUAACCUGGGGGCUGCAUUUGAUACGUGUUGUCUAGAGUGAGGAAGAGGGUCGUGGAAUUCCCAGUGUAGAGGUGAAAUUCGUAGAUAUUCGGAAGAACACCAGUGGCGAAGGCGACUGACUGGACAAGUACUGACGCUGAGGUGCGAAAGCGUGGGGAGCAAACAGGAUUAGAUACCCCAGUAGUCCCUGUCUCUUAUAU